UACAGAGGGGGCAAGCGUUGUUCGGAAUUACUGGGCGUAAAGGGCGCGUAGGCGGCCUUCUAAGUCGAACGUGAAAUCCCUGGGCUCAACCCAGGAACUGCGUCCGAUACUGGAAGGCUUGAAUCCGGGAGAGGGAUGCGGAAUUCCAGGUGUAGCGGUGAAAUGCGUAGAUAUCUGGAAGAACACCAGUGGCGAAGGCGGUCAACUGGCCCAUAACUGACGCUCAUGCACGAAAGCGUGGGUAGCGAACAGG
rnacentral:rRNA from 1 species